rnacentral:rRNA from 1 species
UACGUAGGAUGCAAGCGUUGUUCGGAAUUACUGGGCGUAAAGAGUACGUAGGCGGUGACAUAAGUCUGAAAUUAAAGACAGAAGCUCAACUUCUGGAAUGUAUCGGAAACUGUGUUACUAGAGGAUAGUAGAGGAAGUCGGAAUUCUCAGUGUAGCGGUGAAAUGCGUAGAUAUUGGGAAGAACACCAGUGGCGAAAAGCGGACUUCUGGGCUAUUACUGACGCUGAGGUACGAAAAGUGUGGGGAGCAAACGGG